rnacentral:rRNA from 1 species
GAUGAACGCUAGCUACAGGCUUAACAUAUGCAAGUCGAGGGACCGGCGCCCGGGUGAGUAACACGUAUCCAACCUGCCCUUUACUCGGGGAUAGCCUUUCGACAGAAAGAUUAAUACCCGAUAUAAAGGAUGGGGAUGCGUUCCAUUAGGUUGUUGGUGGGGUACCGGCUCACCAAGCCGUCGAUGGAUAGGGGUUCUGGUAGGAAGGUCCCCGACACUGGAUCUGAGCCACGGUCCAAACGCGUACGGGAGGCAGCAGUGAGGAGUAUUGGUCAAGGGGCGGUAGCCUGAACCGGCCAAGUAGCGUGAAGGAUGAAGGGUUAUGGGUCGUAAACUUCUUUUAUAUAAGGAUAUGUAUUAUAUGAAUAAGGAUCGGCUUACUCCGUGCCAGCAGCCGCGGUAAUAC